rnacentral:lncRNA from 1 species
GAAAAAUGGAGGAGAGAGGAAGGACAAUAGAUGUGAUGUGAUGGGCUAAGGUGCUGAGCCUGAUAUCCUUACCCAGUGGAUAUAAUCUGUUUAGGAAGGAAUCUGUAUUUUACCUGUACUUACUGGUAAAAUACACUUGCUGGUAGAUCCCACUUCAACUGAUAAUUAGACCAUGUCCUUGGCCUUGUACUUUUCUCCCUGUAUGACAAAACAGCAUCAUUUUUUCUCUUCUUUGUGAGGAGAAUCUGGGACCAAAUGUUUGCUGAGGCCAUGCCAAAAAUGAAGAGAAGGGAAAAAAAUAAUGAAUUCCUGAAGAGCAAGGUAACCUUCCAAGUCACAUGGUGCCAUCAGCAGGUUGUAUGCCCCUUGAGUUCCCCAUCCAGAGGGGAAUACCAUCUUCAUCUCUCUCCCUUCCAGCUCCAUCACAAAGCAAAUUGAAGACACUGAAAUAUAUUUUUGAAACAAUGAUGUUAAAUCAAGCUUUCAAUCCAAAACAAUGAUGUUUUUGCUCUGUGUUUAUAGCAUAUUUGAACAGGUUCAUAACCAUGGACAACUCUCUGGAAAUUCUGCUAUUAGCAGGGUUUAAGUGUUUACCUAAGUAAGGCAGAAUGUUUUGAGAGGAAACAAUUAAAAGGAAAC